AUGUCCUGUCAUGUUGAUAUCAUCCUGUAUGCUAAAUAUUAUGUCAUGCUGUUGCUUUAUACAUCAUUUAUAUACAGACAUUAAUUUAAUAUAUACAAUGACAUUACACUAUUUUCGAAAAUGAAAUGGGCCUAACUAUAUGCCCUGUACAUGCCACAGAAUCAAAAUGAGUAGUUACCCUGAAGACUAAGUCUUCAAAAGAUGAACUGCAGCAGUUGUAAAAAUGACUCUCUACGGUCCAGACCCAAAACCUGCGAGUUAAAACAGGUGAUUUGCAGCUCCUAACUUAUAAAGCAGCAUGUGCAUCUCAUAUGUAUGGGCCAGAAUUCGAAUAUGUUGUAAAAGCCAACACUUUCUUAAAGAACGAAAACAAUAGAGACCUGCUUAUGUUCUUGAAACUGCAUAUGCAGAAUUCUAUUGGUAUUUAUUUGAACUUUAAACAGAGAAGCAACUGAUAUUUUUUCUGUUCUUUUCCUUAUUUCUAAUUGAAGAAGUAAGUUUCCUUUUUUAUUAUGUCAAAAACAUUUUUAUUUGCUAUAUAUAGCAUGGUAUGCCUGACUUGUAAUUCUGUUCAUAAA